UACGUAGGGUGCGAGCGUUGUCCGGAUUUAUUGGGCGUAAAGAGCUCGUAGGCGGUUUGUCGCGUCGGCCGUGAAAUCUCCACGCUUAACGUGGAGUGUGCGGUCGAUACGGGCAGACUUGAGUUCGGUAGGGGAGACUGGAAUUCCUGGUGUAGCGGUGAAAUGCGCAGAUAUCAGGAGGAACACCGAUGGCGAAGGCAGGUCUCUGGGCCGCAACUGACGCUGAGGAGCGAAAGCAUGGGGAGCGAACAGG
rnacentral:rRNA from 1 species